rnacentral:rRNA from 1 species
AUGCUUCUCCUAAAGACUAAGCCAUGCAUGCCUAAGAAUAAGAGGAAGCAAUUCUCUCUGAAUCUGCGAACGGCUCCGCAAACCAGUUGUAAACUAUAGCAAGCAAGCCCGGGAUCGGCCUUCACGGGCUGGUUCCGGGUGAUAUGGAUAACCCUGGUAAUUCUGAGGCUAAUACAUGACCGUAAAACCUAGCUGACCGGCUUCGGCUGGGAUGCUGGGGGACGUGUGAUUUGGGCUUGGUAACACCGGGAAGGGGCGCACGUCUAGACCACGCUAUAAAGGUCGGUUUCCCCUUCGGGGGGGGCUGUCCCAGUGGCUCUUGCUGUGUGCUUCUGACCUAUCAACUAGACGGCAGCGUAAGGGACAUGCUAUGGUGACAACGGGUACAGAGGAUUAGGGUUCGAUCCUGGAGAGUGGGCCUGAGAGAUUGCUCAUACUUCUAAGGAAGGCAGCAGGCGCGCAACGUUCCCCUUGGGCAAUGCCCGAGGGCGUUAGGGGACAUAUGAAUGCCUGCCCAUUGGGUGGGCAAUUCAAAUGGGUCUGUUGUAAACAGGCUC